ensembl:ncRNA T21D9.4 ncRNA
UGAAGGAAAAUCGGUGCAAAAUUUGUUGUGCUCAAUUUCCAUAUUACUCGCGGACUAUGGUCAUAAACUAGGAAUAGCGAAGAAACGAUAGUAUUUCGAUCGGAAACGAGCAAAAGGAGUGAAAAUCUCGAAGAGCUUAGCCUAGAUGUUAGAAAUUAGUGGAAGACACAUUU